rnacentral:rRNA from 1 species
UGGUGGAGUGAUUUGUCUGGUUAAUUCCGUUAACGAACGAGACCGCGACCUACUAAAUAGCUUCCGUAUAGAUGCGUCUAUGCGUUCCGGAGCUUCUUAGAGGGACUAUCGAAUCCAAAUCGGUGGAAGUGCGCGGCAAUAACA